AAAUGAGAAAAAACACAUGGAGGCAACUUGGAGUGCUGAUCUCAACAUCCUUAGUGGCCAAAAUCCUACAGAUAAUAUUAUGAAGUUAAUGAAAUACGUACUUUCAGAUCUCCUGAGAUAUUGGCUCCUGCAAGAAUGCCAGUGGCAGCUGGGAAAAAAAUGGCAAACACCGAAAAAAAUCCUUCUCCACUUCUGAAAUCUGGUCCAAAGUUUUCUGCAAAUAUCGAUGCUGCAAAUACAGGAAUGACUGUCCCGAUAAAGAAGUUUGCAAUGGCAACAAGGAGAACAAUUAGAAGAAUAACUUGAGCCUAUUAAUAGAAGCAAAAAGAUUUUCCUGUUAGUUUUAAUUUGUGUUGCUGUG